rnacentral:rRNA from 1 species
AUUGAACGCUGGCGGCAUGCCUUACACAUGCAAGUCGAACGGCAGCAUGGAGAGCUUGCUCUCUGAUGGCGAGUGGCGAACGGGUGAGUAAAGCAUCGGAACGUACCGUGUAGUGGGGGAUAACGUAGCGAAAGUUACGCUAAUACCGCAUACGCACUGAGGUGGAAAGCAGGGGAUCGUAAGACCUUGCGCUAUACGAGCGGCCGAUGUCAGAUUAGCUAGUUGGUAGGGUAAAGGCCUACCAAGGCGACGAUCUGUAGCGGGUCUGAGAGGAUGAGCCGCCACACUGGGACUGAGACACGGCCCAGACUCCUACGGGAGGCAGCAGUGGGGAAUUUUGGACAAUGGGGGCAACCCUGCUCCAGCCAUGCCGCGUGAGUGAAGAAGGCCUUCGGGUUGUAAAGCUCUUUCGGCCGGGAAGAAAUCGCACAGGCUAAUACCCUGUGUGGAUGACGGUACCGGCAUAAGAAGCACCGGCUAACUACGUGCCAGCAGCCGCAGUAA